CGCCGCGGUUUCACUCCUCACUCCCCAUCCCUCUCCAGCAGCAGCUCGCGUCCACCGCCACCGCCCACCAUGAGCCGCGAUCAAUUCCUCCUCCGCCUCCUCGACCUCCACGCCGGCGACGACCCCUUCUUCCCCUUCCCCACCUCCUCCUCCUUCUCCUCCUGCCCAUUCUCCACCUCCUCCUCCGCCCACCACCGCUUCCUCCUCGACGACCACCCCUCCUGCCCCCUCGGCUUCACCUCCCCAUCCCCGAUCGACACCUUCCACCUCGACCUCGACCUCGACCUCGACCUCCUCCUCCCUCCCCGCGCCGCCGCGCCCCCGUGCCCCGCCUUCUUCGACCCCUUCCUCCUCGACGCGCUCGGCCACCGCGUCUCCGCGCUCGAGCGCGCGCUCGCCCCACCACCCCCGGCGCCCCGCCGCAAG
rnacentral:lncRNA from 1 species